rnacentral:rRNA from 1 species
AUUGAACGCUGGCGGCAGGACUAACACAUGAAAGUAGAGCGAGAGGCGGACGGGUGAGUAAUGUAUGGGGACUGCCCGAUAGAGGGGGAUAACGACUGGAAACGGUGGCUAAUACCGCCUACUCUCGAAUAACCCAUAUGGGAUUAGCUAGUAGGUGGGGUAAAGGCUACCCUGGGCAACGAUCUCUAGCUGGUCUGAGAGGAUGAUGAGCAACACGGGGACUGAGACACGGCCCAGACUCCUACGGAGGCAGCGUUGGGGAAUAUUGCACAAUGGGCGCAAGCAGGAUGCAUCCAUGCCGCGGGUAUGAAGAAGGCCUUAGGGUUGUAAAGUACUUUCAGCGGGGAGGCGUUACCCGCAUAAGAAGCACCGGCUAACUCCGUGCCAGCAGCCGCGGUAAGAC